rnacentral:rRNA from 1 species
AAACCUCCUCAAUGUGAGAAAUCGUGACGAUGGGAUCCCAAGUGCCAUUCUUAACGGGAUGGCUUUUCUUAAUGUAAAAAGCUUUUGAAUAAGAGCUGGGCAAGACCGGUGCCAGCCGCCGCGGUAACACCGGCAGCUCUAGUGGUAGCUGUUUUUAUUGGGCCUAAAGCGUUCGUAGCCGGUUUAAUAAUUCGCUGGUGAAAUCCUGUAGCUUAACUGUGGGAAUUGCUGGUGAUACUGUUGAACUUGAGGUCGGGAGAGGUUAGCGGUACUCCCAGGGUAGAGGUGAAAUUCUGUAUUCCUGGGAGGACCACCUGUGGCGAAGGCGGCUAACUGGAACGAACCUGACGGUGAGGGACGAAAGCUAGGGGCGCGAACCGGAUUAGAUACCCGGGUAGUCCUAACCGUAAACGAUGCGGACUUGGUGUUGGGUGGCUUUGAGCCGCUCCGGUGCCGAAGGAAGUCGUU